GACGAACGCUGGCGGCGUGCUUAACACAUGCAAGUCGAACGGUGAAGGGGUCUGCUUUUGUGGGCCCUGGAUGAGUGGCGAACGGGUGAGUAACACGUGAGUAACCUGCCCCCUUCUUCUGGAUAACCGCAUGAAAGUGUGGCUAAUACGGGAUAUUCUGGGUCUGUCGCAUGAUGGGUCUGGGAAAGAUUGCGCCUUUGGGUGUUUUUGGUGGGGGAUGGGCUCGCGGCCUAUCAGCUUGUUGGUGGGGUGAUGGCCUACCAAGGCGGUGACGGGGAGCCGGCCGGGGAGGGGGGACGGUCAGACUGGGACUGAGACACGGCCCAGACUGCUACGGGAGGCAGCAGUGUGGAAUAUUGCACAAUGGGCGCAAGCCUGAUGCAGCGACGCCGCGUGAGGGAGGGAGGCCUUCGGGUUGUAAACCUCUUUCGCAAGUGAAGCAGGCCUGCUCCUUGUGGGUGGGUUGACGGUAGCUGGAGAAGAAGCGCCGGCUAACUACGUG
rnacentral:rRNA from 1 species